rnacentral:tRNA from 1 species
GCCAGGGUAGCUCAGUGGCAGAGCGAGGCUUUCAUAAGGCCGAGGUCGUGGGUCCGAUCCCCACCCCUGGCA